rnacentral:rRNA from 1 species
CCUACGGGGAGCUGCAGUAGGGAAUCUUCCACAAUGGGCGAAAGCCUGAUGGAGCAACGCCGCGUGGGUGAAGAAGGUCUUCGGAUCGUAAAACCCUGUUGUUAGAGAAGAAAGUGCGUGAGAGUAACUGUUCACGUUUCGACGGUAUCUAACCAGAAAGCCACGGCUAACUACGUGCCAGCAGCCGCGGUAAUACGUAGGUGGCAAGCGUUAUCCGGAUUUAUUGGGCGUAAAGGGAACGCAGGCGGUCUUUUAAGUCUGAUGUGAAAGCCUUCGGCUUAACCGGAGUAGUGCAUUGGAAACUGGGAGACUGGAGUGCAGAAGAGGAGAGUGGAACUCCAUGUGUAGCGGUGAAAUGCGUAGAUAUAUGGAAGAACACCAGUGGCGAAAGCGGCUCUCUGGUCUGUAACUGACGCUGAGGUUCGAAAGCGUGGGUAGCAAACAGGAUUAGAUACCCGAGUAGUC